UUCAAUGCUCUCAAAGAAUCAAAAAAUAUUUGGAUGGGAGUGAGUGAGCUUUCUUGAAUGCUUAAAAUUCAAAAAAUCUUUUCUUUUCAAUGGAACAGUUCUUUUUUAAAUGCUCCUCUUUCUUCUCUUGAUAUUUUGAGCAUUCUCAUCAAGUUUGAAGUGAAUAGAGCUCAAAAUUAGCUAUUUCUGAUCGUUGGGGGUGAAAAUAGUCAUUGGAAGCUUUGACAGGCCAAAAAUAUCGCAUCUAAAAACUAGCCAUUGAUGCAAUCAGACACCUUCGAAUUGGCUUGGAUUGACUUUGAGUUGGCUCGAUCGAUAAGUUUCAAGGAUCAGGCCUUCUGUUCGACUGAGAGAGCUAACUCAGAUUGAUCUUGAGUUGGCUCGACAGCAUCCACCACAAAUCACUUUCUAUUUUUCUGAUAGAGCUGGCUCGAAUUAUCUUCAGACUGGUUCGGCUCUUAGGAUCCAAAAAAUAGUCUUUUUGUCACC
rnacentral:lncRNA from 1 species